rnacentral:tRNA from 1 species
GCCGUGGUGGUGCAGUGGUCAGCACACCCGAUCCUGGUAUCCUACGUUCUCUGAUGUCGCUCGUUUACCUAAGGUCCCUAAUACACUCUCUCGUGGAUCGGGAGGUCGUAAGUUCGAAUCCUACUCACGGUG